rnacentral:rRNA from 1 species
UGGGGAAUAUUGCACAAUGGGGGAAACCCCGAUGCAGCGACGCCGCGUGAACGAAGAAGGUAUUCGUAUCGUAAAGUUCUGUCCUAUGGGAAGAUAAUGACAGUACCAUAGAAGAAAGCUCCGGCUAAAUACGUGCCAGCAGCCGCGGUAAUACGUAUGGAGCGAGCGUUGUCCGGAAUUAUUGGGCGUAAAGGGUACGCAGGCGGUUUAAUAAGUCGAAUGUUAAAGAUAGGGGCUCAACCCCGCAAAGCAUUGGAAACUGAUAAACUUGAGUAGUGGAGAGGAAAGUGGAAUUCCUAGUGUAGUGGUGAAAUACGUAGAUAUUAGGAGGAGUACCAGUAGCGAAGGCGACUUUCUGGACACAAACUGACGCUGAGGUACGAAAGCGUGGGGAGCAAACAGG